rnacentral:sRNA from 1 species
GCGCCUGAUCCUCAUUGGCGUCCUCAGGUAGGAUGAGUCCAUGAUCAUCCAAUCUCUGACCAGCCUCAUUGUAGGCUUGCCCAUCCUCAUCUCUCAAAACUCUUUCUGCAUCAGCUCUGAUGACUCUGUCAGCCAUUGCUAAUUUAUGAGUUUUUCGGUUGGUGCGUUCAAGUUUUCCCAAGUCUAGAACAGACAAGUUGAUAAGCUCCUUCUGUUUUGUGCUCCUUGUUUGCCUAGGCAUACACCUGAAACACAGAAAAGAAGAAGACAAGAAACGCGUGAGUAACAAAAUAGAAGUAAAAACUAGACGAAAUCUCUAAACAAAACUCAAUGAUGAUUCCCAAGAACUCCGGCAACGGCGCCAAAUUUGAUAUGGUUCAAAUGACCUAGAACUACUCUCUCAAAUAAGAGAUCAAUUACAGUAUUUUAGGAUCGAAUUCACGGAGUUCUUUUGUUCAAAUAGUGAGUUAAAUGUCGAGAUUAAGCUAGCAGGGUAUGAGUGAAAUAGUAAGUAAACAAAGCAAGAAAACAGCAGAUUGAUUGUGUUGUGAAAGAUUUAAUAAAGAGGUAGGAACAGGGUAUUCUCAGGAAACUAUUGGUUAGUAGAUCUAAUAAAAACUAGGUUGUUAUCGAACCAUUCUUAAACUCAAACUCUAAUUAUGGAAUAGUGGGCGUGCUGCGAAACUCCCUAUAUCUAUAGCUAAUAAUAACAGGAGAAGUCGAGAAACUAUCAACCUAAAUAUGCAUUCUUAACGAGUUCAAUUGUUCAUCUUAGUAAAUAGGCCGAUUCUUAUUACACAUCUAUAAACCAGACUCAUCAAAUAAUAGAUCCAACUACAGAUACCUAUGGCGGGAAUAUCUAUUGUCUGGAUUCAAGAUCUAGUUAAUUACUCUAGAUCUAGCAUUAGGCAUAAUUAAAGAUGAAGAAUUCUACAGAUAACCUAGCAAAGGGAGCAAUCUACUAAACCAUAUAAAUCCCUAAUGAGAAACCCUAUUCCUAAUAAUCAGGUUACUCAGACAUAUUGGAUGAAGCAAACAACAUAUUUGAGAUAAAAAGCAUAAACAUAGUAAAUAGAGAAAGGGAAAGAAGGGAUCUCUUCACUGUAUAUAGAUCUGAAUGAAACUCUCAAGAACAAUGGAUGAAUAGCUUAUGUCUCUCACAAUAGGGUUUUGCAAAGAACUUGAUAAAAGAAACUUAGGUCUAAAAACAAUAUAUAUAGACCCUAAAAACGUCCAGGGACUAAUAAUGUAAAUAGGGAAACUUCUGGGGCAAACUUGAGCUUCUGUAAACUCGAAAGCGUCUAGGGUUUUUGCUGGGCCGAAACUGGUGUCGAUCGACACCAAGAGUGUGUCGAUCGACACUCGUCGCUGAUUCCUAAACCAAAAUCGUCCUUAGCUUCCUUUUCUUUAGAUUUUGCUCCAAAAUGUCUCCUUAUCUCCAUUGUUGUCCCACUGCAUAGAAUACCUGAAAAGAUACUAAAAAGACUCGAGAAAUAACAUAAAGACUCAAAAUCCUAUUCCUAAAACAUAGAUAAAAUCGGUGAAAAUUGGGUUAUAUCAAACGUUUCUUUGAUGGACAUGAUCCUCAAGAAGACCAAAGUAAACUUUUGUAUUCAAGUAUGGAUUCUCAAGGAAGUUACUCAAACAAUCGAGAUCCAGAAAAC